UUGUGGAGGAGGACGCCGGAGGUGGGGCUAAUGACUGGGGUGAAGUCGUAACAAGGUAGCCGUACCGGAAGGUGCGGCUAGAUCACCUCCUAACAGGGAGACAACAAAAUGUUUAUAUUAAUUUUGUCACCUUAGGUCGAUCGGUAUCUCAGAUUCUUAUUUUUAAGAAUUUCAGUUUCUAAGUUUUUUCUAGGUCACACCCAUUACUUUUUCCUGGGCCAUUAGCUCAGGUGGUUAGAGCGCACCCCUGAUAAGGGUGAGGUCCCUGGUUCAAGUCCAGGAUGGCCCAUAUCUCUAUGUUGGGGGUGUAGCUCAGUUGGUAGAGCGCCUGCUUUGCAAGCAGGAUGUCAGCGGUUCGAGUCCGCUUACCUCCACUGAAUACCGCCUCUAAACAUAUUGCUAAAGAGGGAAACAGUUUUGAAAUGUGUAUUAACCUGCUCUGGGCGAAUCUAGCUUCCUAUUUUAAUUUAAUAAAUAAGAUGCUGUACUCAUUGAAUUUUUGAAUUCAUUGUUUUCAGAGAACCUUGACAACUGCAUAGAUUAUUUUUGAAGACAAUAAGCAUCUUUAAGAUGCAGAUUUAUUAUUUGUGCUAACGCAUUAAAUAACAAUUCUAUUAAGCUGAUGCUUCUAUUAUUGAAGUUAUUGGUCAAGCUACAA
rnacentral:misc_RNA from 1 species